AGGAGGAACAACCACAGUGGUCGGGGUCAGCUCUGGAGCCCUGGAUUCAGCUCCCGCAGUAACUACGGAGCUCUCAGUGUGCAGGGGCCUGGUUGCUCUUGGGGCAGG
rnacentral:pre_miRNA from 1 species